UGGAGAAUGAUAGUCUGGAUGAGUGGGAGAGAAGAUGCAAUGUUUCUAAAGAAAUGUCCCGUCUGUACGAAGUAUGUUAUGAAGAAAAGAAGAAGGUGGAAGAAUUGCAGCGUCGGAUUGAGAAUUUGGAAAAUGAAAAGAAGGAAAUUAAGGAUAUUAAGAAGAGAGCCCGGUGGGGAAAGAAUGCAGUGAAAUGUUUGAGAAGGCAUAUAAAGGAGCAGGAUCAGGUCAUUGAGAUCUUGCAUGGUUAGACGUUGAAGCUUAGUGAGAAGUUGACGAGGCUGAGCGCUCGAGAUUCUUCCGUCUAGCUACUUUGUUUGCCGAAAUAAUAGUCUGUUGCUCCAAUUCUCUUUGGUUCUUCUUCUACGUUCUCUUAAAACACGUACUCUCCUUAAGGCAAAGAAUUGCAUAUUUUGUGUGGCAUGUUUAAUUUCCUUGUGCCUUUUUCUCUCUUGUUUUGUAUCUUAAUU